rnacentral:rRNA from 1 species
GGAGGCUUCUAUAUCCUUCCAAAUCAUCUAUAUGAUCUUGCAAUGGAUUUGAUCCCAAGAAUGCUUAUUGUUGAUCCCAUGAAGAGAAUCACAAUCCGUGAAAUUCGAGACCACCCAUGGUUUCAGAAUCGCCUUCCUCUCUACCUGGCAGUGCCUCCACCAAACACAGCACAGCAAGCCAAAAUGAUUGACGAAGAUACACUUCAAGAUGUUGCCAAUCUGGGAUAUGACAAAGAUCAUGUGUGUGAAUCGUUGUGCAAUAGGCUAUAA